GACCGGCUUCACCUUUGCAAAAGCAGAAAAAGGCAGACGUCUUAAAAAAACUUGCUGCAACAACAAUACAUGAUUUAGAAUUGGAAAUUGGAAAAGGGAAGAUUUUUGUAGUUCCUGGACGAGAUCUACCUCUACCAGUUCAGGUUUGUUUUACUCCUGUCUUAGAUGUUGAAGUUAGAGAAGAGUCAGUUCAGAGAGUAGCAGAUGUUACAAACCAACCAGAGUUUCAGUUGUUAUCUCUGACUACUGAGGCAGCAACAGCA